rnacentral:rRNA from 1 species
AGGACGAACGCUGGCGGCGUGCUUAAUACAUGCAAGUCGAACGAGGUUUAGUCAGUGGCAACACUGACGACUGCCUAGUGGCGAACGGGUGAGUAACACGUGAGGAACCUGCCCCGAAGACCGGGAUAACCCUCCGAAAGGAGAGCUAAUACCGGAUACCCCCACCGAACCGCAUGGCUCGGUGAGGAAAUGGAUUCCGCUUCGGGAGGGUCUCGCGGCCUAUCAGCUUGUUGGUGGGUAACGGCCCACCAAGGCAUCGACGGGUAGCUGGUCUGAGAGGACGAUCAGCCACACUGGGACUGAGACACGGCCCAGACUCCUACGGGAGGCAGCAGUAGGGAAUCUUGCGCAAUGGGCGAAAGCCUGACGCAGCAACGCCGCGUGGGGAUGAAGGCUCUCGGGUUGUAACCCUUUCAGUGGGACGAUCAAGACGGUACCCACAGAAGAAGCUCCGGCUAACUACGUGCCAGCAGCCGCGGUAA